AACGAACGCUGGCGGCAUGCCUAACACAUGCAAGUCGAACGAGACCUUCGGGUCUAGUGGCGCACGGGUGCGUAACGCGUGGGAACCUGCCCUUAGGUUCGGAAUAACUCCCCGAAAGGGGUGCUAAUACCGGAUAAUGUCUUCGGACCAAAGAUUUAUCGCCUUUGGAUGGGCCCGCGUUGGAUUAGCUAGUUGAUAGGGUAAAAGCCUACCAAGGCGACGAUCCAUAGCUGGUCUGAGAGGAUGAUCAGCCACACUGGGACUGAGACACGGCCCAGACUCCUACGGGAGGCAGCAGUGGGGAAUAUUGCACAAUGGGCGAAAGCCUGAUCCAGCAAUGCCGCGUGAGUGAUGAAGGCCUUAGGGUUGUAAAGCUCUUUUACCCGGGAUGAUAAUGACGGUACCGGGAGAAUAAGCUCCGGCUAACUCCGUG
rnacentral:rRNA from 1 species